AUAGAUCGCUGGCGGUAGGCCUAGACAUGCACGUCGAGCGGAUGAAGGGAGCUUGCUCUCUGAUUCGACGGCGGACGGGUGAGUAAUGCCUAGGAAUCUGCCUGGUAGUGGGGGACAACGUUUCGAAAGGAACGCUAAUACCGCAUACGUCCUACGGGAGAAAGCAGGGGACCUUCGGGCCUUGCGCUAUCAGAUGAGCCUAGGUCGGAUUAGCUAGUUGGUGGGGUAAUGGCUCACCAAGGCGACGAUCCGUAACUGGUCUGAGAGGAUGAUCAGUCACACUGGAACUGAGACACGGUCCAGACUCCUACGGGAGGCAGCAGUGGGGAAUAUUGGACAAUGGGCGAAAGCCUGAUCCAGCCAUGCCGCGUGUGUGAAGAAGGUCUUCGGAUUGUAAAGCACUUUAAGUUGGGAGGAAGGGCAGUAAGUUAAUACCUUGCUGUUUUGACGUUACCGACAGAAUAAGCACCGGCUAACUUCGUGCCAGCAGCCGCGGUAAUACGAAGGGUGCAAGCGUUAAUCGGAAUUACUGGACGUAAAGCGCGCGUACGUGGUUUGUUAAGUUGCAUGUGAAUGCCUCGGGCU
rnacentral:rRNA from 2 species